rnacentral:lncRNA from 1 species
AGCUGGAGACUGAAAGAGGAUUUUAUCUUUUAUAUCUAGUUUUUCUUGAUCCGAAUAGGUCUAGAAAGAGAAAAUAGCAAAAGAUUACUGGACAAGGUACUUAUAUGAUAACAUCUUAUAAUUUUUCUGUCUGUGAUAUUAUUAUUUGGAUAUUGGAUACCGAAAGUUCAAUUUAUAUCUAUAAUUUAUUGUAAGGACUUCAGAUUAGUAAAAAAUUUGAGAAGAGUGAAUGAUUCCUGAAUGUUGGAGACAGAAGAGCUGUUCCAGUUCUAGCUAUAAAAAAAGUUCAGCU